rnacentral:rRNA from 1 species
UACAGAGGGUGCAAGCGUUGUUCGGAAUUACUGGGCGUAAAGGGCGCGUAGGCGGCCAUCUAAGUCAGACGUGAAAUCCCCCGGCUUAACCUGGGAACUGCGUCUGAUACUGGAAGGCUUGAGUAUGGGAGAGGGAUGUAGAAUUCCAGGUGUAGCGGUGAAAUGCGUAGAUAUCGUAAGGAAGACCAGUGGCGAAGGCGGGUCUCUGGACAGUUCCUGACGCUGAGGCACGAAGGUCAGGGGAGCAAACGGG